CAGAUAUCUGAAGACCACAAAAGCUCUGGAAAAGCAAUUGCAGAACCUGGAGUCCAUGAAGGCUGAGUUGGCAGUGACUGAAAAGCAGCUGGAAGACUGGAUCAGAGAUGUGAAUGAGUGGGCAGAAACAACAACAAACAACCCAAGGGAUGCUGCUGCCUUGGCCAGCAAGAUCGAAAUGCUGACAGUAAGUGUCAAGAGACGUUCGCAGCGUCUCUACAAAGACACAGACAGCAACAAAGGUCG